UACGUAGGGGGCGAGCGUUGUCCGGAUUCAUUGGGCGUAAAGGGUGCGUAGGCUGCGAGGUAAGUCUGGUGUGAAAUCCCGGGGCUCAACCCCGGAACUGCACUGGAUACUGCUUUGCUAGAGUACUGGAGAGGGAACUGGAAUUUACGGUGUAGCAGUGAAAUGCGUAGAUAUCGUAAGGAAGACCAGCGGCGAAGGCGAGUUCCUGGACAGCUACUGACGCUGAGGCACGAAGGCCAGGGGAGCAAACGGG
rnacentral:rRNA from 1 species